rnacentral:rRNA from 1 species
AGCGAACGCUGGCGGCAUGCUUAACACAUGCAAGUCGCACGGUUCAUGGUUUCGGCCAUGGGCAGUGGCGGACGGGUGAGUAACGCGUAGGUAUCUAUCCUGGGUGGGGGAUAACAGAGGGAAACUUCUGCUAAUACCGCAUGACACCUGAGGGUCAAAGGCGCGAGUCGCCUUGGGAGGAGCCUGCGUCUGAUUAGCUUGUUGGUGGGGUAACGGCCUACCAAGGCGAUGAUCGGUAGCUGGUCUGAGAGGAUGAUCAGCCACAUUGGGACUGAGACACGGCCCAAACUCCUACGGGAGGCAGCAGUGGGGAAUAUUGGACAAUGGGCGCAAGCCUGAUCCAGCAAUGCCGCGUGUGUGAAGAAGGUUUUCGGAUUGUAAAGCA